UAAAAUCUCAAAAACCUUUUUAGUAGGAACCACUAUUUUCAAAGGGCAUUUUGGAGUUUAACUAUGUUUGUAUUAAACAAUGCUUUAAUAAGCUCGAAUAAUAUAAAGCAUAGAAAUAAAUAAUAACAUCUAGAGUAAUAAAAUAACUUAAACAUUAUUCUUUUGGGGGUUAUGUUCUCUUAGAGUAGUACAGGAAACCUAUUAUGACAUUCCUUGAUGCAUCGUUGAAACUUUUCCAUGUUAUCUCGAUGAAGUAUUUUGCAUGUUUGAAAACAUUCUUUCAAGUUGUUGCAGUUCUCAUGACAUAUCUUCAAGUUUUUAGAUUUUGGGGGAUAGAGUUUAUUGCAUUGUUUGAUACACUCAUCCAAAUUAAUUUCGAUGUUAUAUAGAUAUUGUGAUAAUUGAGGUGGUGGUGGAGGUUGAACUCGUUUAUGAAUAGCAUCAUGGAAUUCCGCAAAGGUAGAACAAAUAACCACUACAAUCAUCAACAUU
rnacentral:lncRNA from 1 species